UGCGUGAAGUUGGAAUCGCUAGUAAUCGCGGAUCAGAAUGCCGCGGUGAAUACGUUCCCGGGUCUUGUACACACCGCCCGUCACACCAUGGGAGUCAGCAACGCCCGAAGUCAGUGACCCAACCUUCAAGGAGGGAGCUGCCGAAGGCGGGGCAGGUAACUGGGGUGAAGUCGUAACAAGGUAUC
rnacentral:rRNA from 1 species